GACGAACGCUGGCGGCGUGCUUAACACAUGUAAGUCGAACGCUGAAGCCCUUCGGGGUGGAUGAGUGGCGAACGGGUGAGUAACACGUGGGUAAUCUGCCCUGCACUCUGGGAUAAGCCUUGGAAACGGGGUCUAAUACCGGAUAGGACACAUCGCCGCAUGGUGUGUGUGUGGAAAGUUCCGGCGGUGCAGGUUGAGCCCGCGGCCUAUCAGCUUGUUGGUGGGGUGAUGGCCUACCAAGGCGACGACGGGUAGCCGGCCGGGGAGGGUGACCGGCCACACUGGGACUGAGACACGGCCCGGACUCCUACGGGAGGCAGCAGUGGGGAAUCUUGCGCAAUGGGCGAAAGCCUGACGCAGCAACGCCGCGUGGGGGAUGACGGCCUUCGGGUUGUAAACCUCUUUCGACCGGGACGAAGGAUUCGUUUGACGGUACCGGCAGAAGAAGCACCGGCUAACUACGUGCCAGCCGCCGCCGUAA
rnacentral:rRNA from 1 species